UGUGAGGUAGUGUAAUUGUUGCGCAUUGGCUUUUGGAGCUUAAGGUGAGAGAUGAGUGAUCUCUCCCCCACAA
rnacentral:tRNA from 1 species